GACGAACGCUGGCGGCGUGCUUAACACAUGCAAGUCGAACGGAAAGGCCCUGCUUGCAGGGUACUCGAGUGGCGAACGGGUGAGUAACACGUGGGUGAUCUGCCCUGCACUUCGGGAUAAGCCUGGGAAACUGGGUCUAAUACCGGAUAGGAGCCAUUUUUAGUGUGAUGGUUGGAAAGUUUUUUUGGUGAAGGAUGAGCUCGCGGCCUAUCAGCUUGUUGGUGGGGUAAUGGCCUACCAAGGCGGCGACGGGUAGCCGGCCUGAGAGGGUGGACGGCCACAUUGGGACUGAGAUACGGCCCAGACUCCUACGGGAGGCAGCAGUGGGGAAUAUUGCACAAUGGGCGCAAGCCUGAUGCAGCGACGCCGCGUGGGGGAUGACGGCCUUCGGGUUGUAAACUCCUUUCGCUAGGGACGAAGCUUGUGUGACGGUACCUAGAUAAGAAGCACCGGCUAACUACGUG
rnacentral:rRNA from 1 species